CCANAGCUAUUGUUCUCAGCGUACCUGUUCUGUAAUUCUCUUUCCUACAGAAGUAAUUUGUUUCUUUUACUUUUCAAGAUGGCUUCUAUUUUUUCUGCAUGCAAGUUCCAUAUUUAGUACAGUAUAGGGUGUAUAAGAUACUUUGUUUUUAGACUGAAAAGCUAUGGAAUCUGGUAGAUCCAGUAUAUCACCGGGACAUAUUUAUCUAAGCAGAAACAUGUUACCACAAAGACUUGGAUUUCUUUGCUUUGGAAAGGUUUUCAAUUGCAUCAGUGCUUUAAAAAUCAUCGUUGUGUUAUCGAAAAGUGAGAAUGAGUGAUUUGUCAGAAAGAAAAAAAAAAUGUGUUCCAAGUAGACCUCAGGUGAUUUCCUUAAUCAUACGUUCAUAUUAUGGGCCUUUAAAAAAAAAUAAUCCGAAUGUUUUCACUGAAAACUAUGAAAAUGCAGUUGUAAGCUACUGUGUCAGUUAGGAAUUAGAGGUUCUUAGACCCAUGGUUUAUUCCAUAGCUGUGAGCACACUAAGUCUCCAUUCUAAAAUUUAUUUUGAUUAUAAUUAAGUAGAAGUAGAGCUUUUAACUACUUCACUGCUAGUUUUUGACACCAUCAGCUGUGGUUGAGUUUACCAAGAUCAGAUAAUAGACUACUUUAACAAAAUAUCUUUUUUUUGUUGUUGUUUUUUGAGAACUCUAAAAAAUGCAGGUACUUAAAGAUAGUUUAGUCAGUUUUUUCUUCAUUUACACAAAAUUAUAAUUUGGUUUUGGAAAACACCCUGAUUGGUUUUUUUCCUUAGUUUUACACCCCAGAAGAAAAAGUUUAGUCUGUAGAACCAGUUGAUGAGCUGAGUAUGUUUGUAAACAAUCCUACACUCACAAGAGAAUUAAGAACACAGCCGUCUCAGUUGUGUGAUGGGCUUAGUUUGGGAUCAUGAACUAGACAGGAAAUUGUGGCUCUGUCUUUGCCCAGUUGUCAGCCACCUGCUACCCUUCGAACACAACAGUUUUCACUGAGAAAAUGUAAAUAAUCAGUGCCGGAUAUAUAUGUAAUAAUUGGAAAUACAACUCAGAACAUACAGGUCACUAAUAGUAACAUCAUAAUUGCAUGAGUAAAUUGACAGAACACUGUGAAUCAACUAUAAUGGAAAAAAUAAAAAUAAAAAAUAAUUACAUGAGAAAAUGAGAUCAAUAUAUUAAUCCUAUAUGCAUGCAGGCAGAGCCAUUUAGAGUUUAUAUUAUAAACAAUGUGAUGAUUUUAUGAAAAUAAUUGCAUCUUGGGCAAACAAAAAUAUAUAUGGUCAUCCCUUGUUAUACAUGGGGGAUUGGUUCCAGGACUGGCCCCAGAUUCCAAGAUCUGUGGAUCUGGUCCCUUAGCGUCAUCUCCACAAUGCUUGGUUCUGCAUUCAUGGAUUCAACCAAUCACAGUUUGUGCACUCUUCUAUGUAUUUACUGGAAAAAAACACAUUUGAAUGGACUCAUGUAGUUCAAACCCAUGUUGUUCAAGUGUCAACUGUAUACAUUUGUCACUAUGUUGAUAGACACUCAAACUCAGUAGUAUGGAUUUUUUUAAAUGGAACCCUGAGGGUCACUGUCUGGGUGAUUGGUGACCUUGUAGCAAAAACGUAUAAAAAAGUCACAUCUGGCCUUUAGGACUUUUUAUUUUUUAUUUCUGUUUUAUUUUUCAUAUCAAUUUUAUUUUUAAAAACUUUUUUGGGACCUGGGAACCUCCAUAUGCCACAGAUGUGGCCCUAGAAAAAGACAAAAAAAAACAAACAAAAAAACUUUAUUAAAUUAUAGUUGAUUUACAGUGUAUUGGUCUCAGAUGUACAACUAAGUGAUUCAUAGAUAGACAGAUAGACAGACAUAGAUAUAGAUGUUAUACACACAAACAAUGGAAUACUACUCAACCAUAAAAAAUGAAAUAAUACCCUUUGUAGCAAUAUAGAUGGACCUCGAGAUUAUCAUACUAAGUAAGUCAGAGAAAGAUAUAUUUCGUAUGAUUUUGCUUAUAUGUGGAAUCUAAGAAAAGAUAUAAAUGCGCUUAUUUACAAGACCGACUCACAGACAUUGAAAACAAUUUUAUGGUUACCAAAAGGAAAAGGGUGGGGAGGGAUAAAUUAGGAGUUUGGGGUUGAAAUAUACACAGUAGUAUGCGUAAGAUAGAUAACCAAGAAAGACGUACUGUAUAGCACAGAAAAUUAUACUCAAUAUCUUGUAUAUAUGCAACCUAGAAUGGAAAAGAAUCUAAAAAAGAAUAAAUAUAAGGGAUUUUUUUAAAACUUGGGAGUGUAAGAGAGCCCAUUUAAAAGGAGAUUGAGGAGUUCUUGUCAUGGCUCAGUGGUUAACGAAUCCUACCAGGAACCAUGAAGUUGCAGGUUCGAUCUGUGGCCUUGCUCAGUUGAUUAAGAAUCCGGUGUUGCCGUGAGCUGUGGUGUAGGUCACAGAUGCAGCUCAGAUCCUGCGUUGCUGUGGCUCUGGCAUAGGCUGGUGGCUACAGAUCCGAUUAGACCCCUAGCCUGGGAACCUCCACAUGCCGCGAGAGCGGCCCCAGAGAAGGCAAAAAAAAACAAAAAAAUAAAAAAUAAAAGGAGGGCAAAACCUCAUUUUUAUAAUGUGCACUCAUAUUCAUGGUAGAAAUAUUAUAUAUUGUCUUUUACUCCCUGAUCAUUUACAUAAUAUCUUUACUGAUUUUACUGUGUCUCCCAGAAUGUAGCCAUUGACUUGCCUCUUAAGAUUUAGUUAAGAAUUAGUUACCGCCUCAUUCCAUAGACGUUGAAAAGUUUGAACCCACUUCCCUCACCAUCCCCUGUCAAGAUUUCUUUGAGUUUCCAGGGUUCUUUUGGCCAUUUCGUGUUUUGGCUCCUUUUCCAACAGAAUCUUUAAUCUCAUUUGUAUGUUCCCUUCCAUACCUGUCCCUUUCUCUUCUGUCUGCACAAAUGUGAACAUGAGCCUCACACUCCUUUCCAAGAUUUUUGCAGAAAAAAAAAUCCUUCAGUGCCUUAUGAAUCUAGAGAUUCUGUUGAAAGAAGUUUUAGAAUCCCAGUAAUCCCAGUAAUUUAAAACUUAAACAUCCCUGUUCUUCAGGAUCUUACUGGCCAUCCCUUCUUCACAGACUCUGGGAUUUUGCAAAUUGCUGAUCUCUCUUUCUUUCUUGAAUCUCUGUAAUAUUUUUCAUAGAGAGGUUUAUCUCCACUGUCUCAUUUCUCUCCUGUCUCCCUUGCCCUCAAGUGGCUCAUAAAGAUGUUUACCUAAAUAAAGGCAGUUUCUUCCCCAAGAGACUCUGGGAUCAGCUGUUGCAAUAACACUUAUUUCCCCCACAAUAGAUACAUUUGUCAUGCAAAAUAUUGCCAUUCUCAGCCCGUGAGCUAUCAUUUCUCUGUGUUUCUUUAUCUUGGAGCACAUUGGCAGAUUUUUUGUUUCCAGUUACAGCAGGCUUUGAUUACUUUGGCCAUCUGUGCCAAGGCCAGAAGACAUUGGUCCUCACCCAUCCAGUGGCAAGGUAGGAGAGUCACCUUGGAUGCUCCUCAUGCUUUCCCACAUUAUGACACAUAUUCAAUAUGGAUAAGGCAUACUCACAAGAGUAAAUGAAUAAGGUUGUUAUGUGGCCAAAGAUGACUGUCCAAGGGCUCCAGCUGUUCUGUGGGCUCUGGCCACCCAGGCCCCAUCCACCCAACCCAGGACCAACAAGGAGAUCAGUAUGGAAGCAUGCCUUUAAACAGCAUGUGGCCACCAGUUGGGAAGCUCAGAAAUAUGGUAGUCUUACUCAAGCCAGGGAAAAUCAAAGCAGCUCCUUGUCUGUUUGGACCUGAAGUCUUUGUUUGGGACUUCUUAUGAUACUUUAAGGAGGUAUAAUUUCUCUUCUAUAUGAUUAAAUAUAUAUUGCAUUAAAGUAUAUUACCUCCCACUGUGGAACUCUUAAAAAUCCAAAUCCAAAAGCCUACCCUACAAUAACAGUGUUACUGGAUUGUAUUUCAUUAAGUCAUGUUUCCAAAUGUACUCUAUUAAGAUGCAAUCUAAAACUGCCUUUAGUGUUUAUUAUUAUUUUAACAUUCUAGUCUUUGCUUCUUUUAAUUAGCUGGAUAAUUUGGAGGGGGGGUUUAGAACAUCUGGGGGAGAAUCACCUUUACACGUGGGUGGUUACUUCCAAAGCUUUUCAAAAGGCAUGGAAUAUGAUCGUUUUUUUUUCAUCCAAUCAUUCAUUCAAGAAGUGGUGGCUGAAUGCCUGGUUUGUGCUAAGGAGAGAAAGGAGAAAAGUAUGUCAUAGUUACUUCUUCCAGGAACUAUGGGAACUAGAGUCCAGUGGAGAAACAGUUCUUGGAUACUUGAAACAUUGAUGUUAUGGAUAAAAGAGCUUAUAGUUGAUGACAAGAGUGAAAGAGGAACUCCCCUAAAAGUGUGCUCAGGGUGAGGAAGCUCUGUUAGGGGGUAAGGUUUAAUUUUAGCUGGUUCAUGUAGGAUGAAUUGGAUUUAGAAUAGCUAGAAAUGAGCUAUUCCAUGGAUUCUUGCAGAGUUCAGUUUGGUAUAAGAAAGGGUUUGUUUUCAAAUAAAAUAACUUCAGGAAGAUUGGUAAGCAUUGGAACUAAGAGUUUUUCCAAGUAAAACUGUAUUUAUUUUCAUGAAAGAGAGGGCAAAAUAAAGAAGAAAUGAUCAGUGAUGUUGGCAUAAUUCUUGUGUAAAACGAUCCAGCAUAAUGUAGGCACUAAAUAUUGGCAAAGGAUCAGGUGUUAACUGUUCAGAUGGGUGGUUAUUGUUCUGAUAAUGAAGAAUAAGUGUCUCAAAAUUGUUGCCUACUAAGAGGGCAGAAAUAGGAAUAAUGUGCAUUUUUAAGACCCUGUAAAUAUUUUAUUUGUUCAUAACCAGCACCUUUAUUGAAAGGAAACACUUUUGCUAUUUUGUGACAAUUUAUCUUAUUAGACAUGCAACAAGAUCUGACUGAUGACCAGAAAAGUAAGGGUUGUCCUUCUGUCUUCUCAUCCCACCUCAGAGUGACCCAUUAGAGAUUACUUUUCUUUUUUUCUUCAAGAUUGCUUUAGAGCUUGCAGUAGAAAUGACAUAAAACUGUGAUUUUUGAGUUCCUCUGGGCCAAGCAGCCAGGAGCAGUUUCAAUUUCUAGAAAGAAGCAAGGCUGAAUUCUUGUUGGUUUUUUUUCUUGAGUGUGCUGUUCUGGAAUAAAUUCUUCUCAUGAGUUUUAAAAAUUAGUCUGUAUGUGAAAGUUGCCCAAGAAUUAGAGGAUAGAGGGGCCGGAAAGGGAAAGAAGAAACACAAAACAGCCUAGCUAUUCUACUGUUGUUGUUGUAAUCAAUAGAAUAACUCAACAAUGGCAAAUAUUCUUUGUGCCGAUUGAAAAGAAAUGGACUCUUUUACUAUUGAGCAGGUUAUGCUUGUGUAUGAAGUUUUGCAAUUGAAACUUUAAAUUGUUCACACAAGGACCGGUUAUUCAAUUUAUAAAGCAGUCACUUAGAUAACUUAUCUCAUUCUUUAAAUGUUUUAUACCUACUUACCAGCUAAGCUACCCUGGCGUACGUGGGUAGCUAUACCUCUUCUUUCGCUGCUUGCCUUUCCCCCCACAUCUUCAUGUACUGUGAUCAUCUUUCCAAGCCAAAACAUCUAGAUUUCCCUCAUCCUUAUGAAUGGCAUGGCAAUAUUGGAUGGAACAGAAUGGAUGUGUCACAAUUUAUUCAAGGAGUUUCCUUUAACAAAGUGCAGGAAAACUUAUCAGUGCUCAUAAUUAAAUUAGAAUUGGAGAAGGCAUUUACUAUUUGAUUUAUUUAAAGAAUUCCACAAGCCCUAGCAGGGGUGUGUGUGUGUGUGUGUGUGUGAAUUAGAAAUGGCAUGCAACAUUUUUCAAAUAGAAAAUCCUUUGCUAAAGUUACCCAUAAAGGGCAAAAUACAUUCUGUCUUUACGGAUCCACACACAAGACAAAAGCCUUCUAUGGUCUGCAUAAAGUCUCCUGCAGCUUGGGCUGGCCUCCAUUCUUUUUUUAAGGAGAAAUCUGAUUUUGAUGGUUCCAUUGCCCUUCUUCUCUGUGCGUAUAAGAUUAUGGUGGACUAGGUGGAACCUAACAAAAAGAUAGAAGUGAACUUAUUUGCAGAACAGAAACAGACUCGAAGACUUUGAAAAACUUAUGAUUACCGAAGAGGACAGGUGGGGAGGGGAGGGAGGUAUGGACUAGGGGUUUAGAAUAUUGGAAAUAUUCUAAAAUUAUGUUGUCAUGAUGGUUGUACAACUAUAAAUAUAAUACAAUUCAUUGAAUUAUUAAAAAAUGAAGUAAAAUUAUGGCGGAGCUUUAGCUUCCUAACUGCUCUCCGUAUUCACUGAGGGAUCAGCUCCUUCCUUCCCUAUUCUCCUGGAGUUGGCAGGCAUCGUGGGCAUGUUUGGGUGUCCUGAAGAUCUGCACCAGCUCUCUUCUCUUUAAGAUUAAUUUUGCUGCUUUAUUGUAAGUAGAACUGGAACUACUCUUCUGUAAGGUGUGGUGCAGGACUUGGUCCUGUUUUCAGAGAAUCUUCCAUCCUUGCUUUCUUCCCUCAUUUUGAACACACCUUGAUGUUUUGGUCUGCCUGAUUAUAACGAUACUAAAUUAUUUUAUUUUACCUAUGUGGAUCAAAAAUUUCCAGUUCAUUUAUUCACAUCUCUGCAAAUAUUGCUGUAUAAAAGUGACUUGAAGGUUGUUUUUCAUACAACAAAGAACAAUAUCUCAUAUCUUUAAUUUCAGCCCCAAGGUUGAAAUAAAUGCGUUUUAACAAAACAGAUUUAUUGGGAAGUCAAUGCUGAGAAGGAAAUGUGUCUAUUAUCUAUUUAGGAGUUUACUGAAGAUAGUCACUUUUGUAAUUUAGGAAAUAAAGUCUUUCAGAAAUAUACAGAAUUAAUCUUACCUUUUGAGUUGUUAUAGAAGGAGAGAAUUCUUAUUUGUUCAAAAUUCAGGUGAAGUUUAAUACUGUUGCCUAAAGCCCACCGGCUUCAUUUUGUGUGACAUCACCAGGCAGCACAAUGCCACCAUAUGCAUCAUGACUCCCAUUCUUCAAAGAAAAAAAAUUAAAAUGGGUCAGUGGGAAAAGAAAAAUUUAAUGUCUUUUAAAUAGAGGAACUUGAGAAAACUCCAUAGUGCUCACCCACUUGGAGAUAUUUCCACGGAUUGGUAGCUAAGCAUUUAGACUAGAUAGGUUUAUUUCUACAUGUAAAAUGAUAUCUGUACCAAGAAAUAUUUGUGAAAUAGGAAAUCUCUAGAAAAUAAUGAAAAAUUAUGAAGCAUGCCCACAGACAAGAGUCAGCAAAAAAAAAAAAAAA
rnacentral:lncRNA from 1 species